CACGGCUGGAGCAGCCCCUUGGGCAGCGUGGCUCUGAGCAGUUGCUGCCUGCCCAACCCUCGCUGCAGACACAGCGGCACGACUCAAGGCUGAAGUUCCCGUGACCACUGCACGAAAGGAGGAGUGGAACCCUUUCAGUUCUUCCUCCAACCCUUUGGAAGCCUCUGCACCAGAAAGACCGUGAGUCACGAGACAUUUUGUCCCCCCCUAGUGAACCUCUCAUCCUAGGUGAGUUAUCUGGGUGACAACUGAUAGAUACCCCCGCAGCAAGGCUUAGCUGUAUGCUAAGCCAGACAGAUCGUUUGGGCUUCUUUGCAGGAUGCUUCCCCCAGAAACUGCAAGCAUUGGGAAUGGCGAUCAGGUUCUCUUCAGAUCUCAUCCUCUAGUUAAGUUAUCAAAUGAAGAGAGAGGAUGCUUGUAGGUGUGCUGUAAGAAGCUCUUUCCUUGGGGAAGUGCCUCAGGCUGUGGGGUCGGGAUCCUGCUCUCAUUUUAAGUGUGGUGAAUUGAAAGCAGCUUGGUUAAAAUGAAUGAAAUUACUCCAGUUCUACCUCAUCAUGCAUCUGUGGUUUGAGUGAAGACUCCAACUACUGAUAAAUGUUUAAUGGGACCAGCUACACAUGUUGCAAGUAACCCAAAUUGUUUCAUCAGUUUUUCAAAUGAAUUCCUUAAAAUCAGGUUUUUCCCAUUGCUCUUCCCAUUCCAUUUUAACUGUGCAAAGUCUUGUCUUUCAAUGGUGUUUUCCAGUCUCUUUUAUGCUCACAGCUGAUUGGUACCACACUGGGGGCAUCCCAGCAGGACUGUGCAAAGCCUGGAGCCACGAGGUGCCCUUCCAGACAGCACCCUUCAGGGGCUACCUGAGAGAUCAGAGACCAGCUGUGUGCUAGCACCUCUGCUCAGCAGCCUCUAAACCAAACCUUUCACAACCCAUGUUGUUAUCAUGUUAUCUCACUAUCACAGAGGGACUGAGCUGUGCCUUUACUGGAGAAACCCUGAUGGAGGCUCUGAGAGCUUCACCAUUGUCUUAGUUUCAACUGAGACGAACUGUUUUCUUCAGAGUGCCUGCCCCCAAGUACCAAUCUGGGCUCCAAGGACACGAUUAUCUGCAGCCAAAAACCACCAGUGUCAGCUCACUUGUUCUGGGGAUGGGUUCGGUCCCAUUACUUUUGCUGGGACUACUGUCUGCUGACCAAUGAUGGACAUCAACAGGUUUGCCAUGAGGAAUCACUGCCCGACCCAUCCCAGGAUAGAGCUAGUGAGCAGGAGUGCCUUUUGCCCUGGGAGAGGGAUGGACAAAAUCUGAUCCCAUUGGGACAAGACAGCCAGUGUCCUCGUGCAGGGGCUUGCUGACCUGAGCAAUGAGAUCUCUUGGACAGCAAUUACAGCACUGUGGGAAGAGCCAAAAGUAUGCAUGGAGCUGGAGCACAGAGGUGUGAAAGGAAGAAGACAUCUCGGGGCCAUCAGCAGCAACUUUUUGUUCCCACCAGUGGAAUACCAGCUCCAUCCCCCAAAGACAUGACAAAAUGAGGACCAAACACGUGCAUAGCUGUGCAACAUGAGCCGAGGGAUGCUCAGCCCCUGCAAAGGGCUGAGCACACCUCCUCUGAGCCUGAAAGAGCCAAUUUCUAAUGUUGACGAGGUCAGCAACAAAUCAGCAUGAAGGCAGCAGCAUCACGGAUGCCUUAGGAAGUAUCAUUCCCAAAGUCACGGCCUGGAACCACAAAAACCCCUGUGCUGUUUUACCUAACCCUGGUCUGAAACCUUGAGGUACAGCCCAAAGCUGGCUCCCAGCCACACCUGGAGCCUCCAAGCUGAGCUGUGGGGCUGCAACGUACCCCAAAGUCACUCCCAACCAAACAACCAUGGAUGCCAGAAGUGGAGAGUCUGACAUAUGAAUCCCUGCGAGACUUACACUAAGAAGUUAAAAAACAAAAACAAAAACAACAAAACACCAUAAAACUUUGGGAAAAUGUAACUUCGGUUGCGUUUUUUUGCUUUUUUUGCCCCCUUGAAAGCAAUAAAGAGCUUAAUAGAAAAUGACUUUCUGUGGAUCGCGCUAUGAAAUUGAGAGAGUUAUCCACCCUGCCAUAAAAAAAAUGUAAUUGGCUAGUUAAAACCACUCUUAGAAGGAGUAUCCUAAGCUGUUAAAUCCUACAAGUUGCAGGGCAAU